AAGAAGGAGAGAAGAUAAGAGAAGAGGAAAGGAAAUGAGAGCAAAACGUAAAGAGCAUUCUUGCUCUAUAUAUUGUGUUCAAUUGGAACUUAGGGAAAUUACAUUUGACCACCCUGGAGGGUGAGAGGGAAAAAAGAAAAUACAGCUUAGGACAAUAUAAGAUAAGUACAGUUCCUAAACUACCCCUAUUACAUAAACUCCAACAGAUCUUGCCAUCUAUGAUGAUUUAACCCUACUAUUGAGGUGUAUCUGAUGUAGAUAAAGCACAUAAGUGGGCUAAUUUAGUUAGAAAAGCCGUGGGCUGGGUACAUAUGUGUUAGGCCUUUGGUCUAAUGGAUUUCUUUGUAAAAGUCCAUUUUAAUGGGCCUAAAAUAUGGGUAAGUAGGAAAAUGGGAUGUACUUUAUUAGUUAGUCUAGUUACAGUCCAAUUACUUAUUUUUGUAUUACGUUGUUUCAGUUGAACUAUGAUAGGCCUCUAUGGGUCCAGCCUUGUUAAAUUUGUUUCUUUCUUGUUUUAUUCAGAGUUUUUGUGGCAGUAGACUACCUCCAGUUUUUGUGGGUCCAACCUUAUUCAGCUAUUGGCUGAAGGAGUUUUAGGCUUAAUUUGAGCCCUGUUUAGAGUCUUUUAUUUGAACAUAUGUAAUGCCAGUGGCCUAGCCACUCAUAUUGAUGAAUUGUUAAAAGCUUUAGCUUUGUUUUGGUCUGUGGAUUCAUGCUUGAGGUGUUUUGACUCUUGUGGAUUCAAGAGUGUCAACUGCUGUGAGAUUCAGUAGUGAACCCUGGUGGGAUUCCAGGUUGGGGUAUUGGUGAUAGCCACCUGAACCUAAUGAUGUGGAAUUUUUUUUCUCCUUUUAUUGGUACUCUUGAGAUAACCAGCAUAUGAGAUGUCAAGUAUUAAUUUUUAUUUAUCUUUUAAUUAUGGUUUGGGACAUGAUUUAAGUCUUGUUAGUUUAACAAAUUUUCCAGGUCAAGUAUUUAGUGAUUCAUUUUCAAUUUAUUCAUAGUCCAGUUCUGAGUUUUGCUUAUUAUUUUUUAGUCUAUUAGUGUAGCUAAACUUACUUAGGAUAGUAUUUCCAUUGCUUUCCUUUAUGACUUCUUAUUCUUGUGAUAUUCAAAACCUUGACCAUUGAUAUAAUUUGUGUCAUGAUAGAGGUUUUUCAGUUACCUGUCUUUGGAAUUUAAGUUCCUGCAAAUCUUAGGCAAACAGGGUAUAGGGUUUCAAACACAAGAUUUUAGUCAUUAAUUAGGCAGUAGUACCCCAUUCUUUUAGUUUCAUAUUGAUUUAUUUUAUGCUUGGUUCAUCUGCAUGCAUAGAAUAAUAUGGGGCAGAUAUAUGGUUGGCUAUAUAGUCAGAUAGCAACCUAAUAAUAUGGGUACCAUUGAGAUGACAAGUAUAUGAGAUGUCAUGAAUUUUUUUUUUUUUUUGAUAGUUUGGGUUAUGAUUUAAGUCUUGUUAGUUUCACAGUUUUUCCAGGUUGAACUGGUUAGUGAAUCAAUUUAUUCUUGAUCUUCAAGAAUUAAACCAGAUCCCAUCUGUUUAUUAAUUCUUUUUCACUCCUGAUCAUCAAUUGCUUAACUGUACAAGUUUGUUGCAUGAAAACAUGUAUCCCAAAUCCCAUUUUCUUUGAAAAUUUUCCUCUUAUGUAUUACCUAUGUCUGAAACUUCUAUAAUUGCUUUCUUGGUAUUGUUCCUCUUGACCCUUUGUUAAUUCGUGUACUCUAUUUCCUAGUUAGGUAUGUUAUUGGAAUAUCUGAGGUUCUAUUCACUCGUGUGAUUUCCUUGGCCAUGUCAAUCCUUCUUAUUUUUUCCUUUUUGCUCUUGGUAAAGUCAAAUUUCAUUCAUGAGAAAUAGGGAUACACAACUAAACAUAGACUGAUCUUAGAUAAUUGAUCAGCCAAGCAUAAGUUAUGCUGAGAAAUUGUUGUUGAAAAUUAGCUGAUGUUAGAUAAUUAAUCAACCAAUCAUAAGUUAUGCUGAGAAAUUGUCGUUAAAAAUUAUCUUCUGCCCCCUGUCUUAGAAUGAAGUAAAAGAGAACCUCCUAACCUAAGAUAAUCCUCAUAUCCUAUUGGUGAUUGGUUGUGGUUACAAGAGAUUUUGGUGAGCAAGUGAAGUAUGCUUUGGAGAGGAUUUUCUCUCAAUUUUGAAUUACAUUGAAUCAAAUUUCAUUAGUUAAAGGAAGUUAAGACAUGUUUUUAUUUUUUUAUUUUUGGAUGAAUAAAAAUAUAUUAACCCAAGAAGAAAAAAUAUACAAGGGAAAGAAAGGGGGGGGGGAAGAAGGCACACUGCCAAAGAAAAAAGGAUAAAACCUCUAAUGGAUACAAGCCCUCAUGGGGAAGGGGGGGAGAAUAGAAGAUGAAAGAUUCCAUGAGUCAAUAAUAAGCCUGUUCCUAGGAGAGUCAGGGACUGGCCGAGGCGGGAGGGAAGCAAUUUUGGUGGAGACCUCAAAUGAGAUGGCAGUCCAAAUCUUUUCAAAUGUACGGGAGUUGGACGUUAUUCUACGAAGAUUCUCCUCCAUCCAAAUAUGAUUGAUGGUGGCACAAAAGGUUAGCUUCCCAACGGUGUCACAAAUGGUGGGGCCAAGAAAGGUCAUGUCAAUCCAAAACCAUUUCCUACUGAGAGGGAGAACUCUUCUACUAGAAGGCCAACAACAAGAAAGAACUUUCUUCCAGAUGGAAGAGGAGAAGGGUCAGGAGAAAAAGAGAUGAUCAACAUCUUCAAUUCUUCUCCAGCAAAGGCAGCAAGAGGGGGGAACUGGAAUGUGGUGGUGAAUGAGGAAAGACUGCGUAGGGAGGCAAUUGGUGAGAGUUCGCCAAACUGUGAAGUUGUGACGGGGGAUGUGGCCUUUGAAUCAUAGGACUUUAUACCAAAAGGCUGGUUGGGCUUUAGUCCUAACAAAGUUCCAGGCCGAGGAAGAGCUGAACGUCUUUGAAGGUGAAGGAUUCCAGAUAAUGGAGACCUCUCUCUCUAUGCCUGGGGGGGAGAGAGCAGGAAGAGAGGUCCAAAUGUAGUUUAGAGAAGGAGGAAGGGGAGAGGGGACCCAUCCAUCAUUGAGGAGGACGGAGGAGACAUGAGCCAACCUAUCCAACCCCAAGGAGUAAAUAGUUCUAGGAUUGAGAAGGUGAAGGAGGACCCCUGAAGGGUGGCAGGGAUCCAACCAAAGAGAAGUAGAAGCUCCGUUCACAAUGGAAUAGGAGAUAGCCUCUAGCGCCAAAGGUCUUAGGCAAAGAAUGCCCAAGAGGAGUCAGAACCUGGGAUAGUGGACCAAAUGGAGUUGGAUUUCAGGAGGUAGGAGUAGACCCAGGAGACCAAAAUGCUGCUCUUUUUAGAAGCAAUUCUCCAGAUCAGCUUGAGAAUACCAGCUGCGUUCAUGUCUUUAAUGCGCCUGAGACCAAGACCUCCCUCGGCUUUAGGGAGACAGACAGAACUCUAGCUGGAUGGGCGGAGGAAUCUGAUAGAAUCAGAUCCUUUCCAAAGAAAAGAGCUGAUGAAAGACUCAAUAGCUUUGAUGGUUGGAGGAGGGAGAACAAAUAUCCCGGACCACUAGAGGUACAUGGAUUGGAGCAUAGAUUUGGAGAGUUUAUGACGACCCGCGUAGGACAACAGCUUGCUCUUCCACAGUUGAAGUUUUUUUUUCAAGAGGUCAAGGAUAGGGGUGCAAUGAUGGGCAGAAAUCCUGGCAGGAAUGAGAGGGAGACCAAGGUAUUUGACGGGAAGGGUGCCGAGGGAGAAACCCGUUAUAUCAAGAAGUCGGGCUUUCAGAGGUUCAGAGAUCCCAGUGGUGAAGAGGUGGGAUUUAAGAAUAUUAGUGCUAAGCCCCAAGAGGCGCUCGAAGAGGCGAAGAGAGGACAUGAUGGAGGAGAUGGAGGUGGGAUCAACUUUAGAGAAGAUCAUAAGAUCAUCUGCGAACGCAAGAUGGGUAAGGGAAAGGGAUUUGCAUUUGGGGAUGGGGGAGAUGAUGUGAAUAUCAGUGGAAGAUUGGAUGGAUCUAGAAAGAACUUCAAGGCAAAGGGAGAAGAGGAAGGGGGAUAGGGGGCAGCCCUACCGGAUUCCCACAGAGGAGGGAAAGAAGGCUAUAGGGCUACCAUUGACUAGAAGAGAGAACCGAGGGGUGGAAAUGCAUGCAUAGAUCCAUCGGACAAAAUUUGGCAGAUUGGACAUUUGGAGGGUGUCACAGAGGAAAUCCUAACGGAUGGAAUCAAAAGCUUUGUGGAUAUCAAUUUUGAGGAGAGCAGCUGAGCCAUGGGAUUUACGCUCGAAGACACGAACAAUUUCAUGACAAAAUAAUAUUGUCAGCAAUGCUCCUCCCAGAGAUGAAGGCAGACUGGUUUUGACUGACAAGGGAGUCAAUGACCUUCUUAAUGCGGAGAGAAAGGAUUAUGGCAAUGAACUUGUAGAUCAAGUUACAGAGGGAAAUGGGUUUGAAGUCUUGCAUGGAGGAGGAACCCUCAGAGUUAGGAAUAAGGCAAAGGAAGGUGUGAUUUACACCACUUAUUUGGCUGGGGUCAAAGAAGAAGCUCCUGAUUGCUUGGAUGAGGUCCCAACAAGAGAUGAAGAAUCCCAUGCUAAACCCAUCAGGCAUAGGGGCUUUGCAGGCUUUGUGGGAUAGGACAACAGAGGUGAUUUCUUCAUCAGAGGGGAUGGAUUGGAGGGAUGGGAUGAGGUGCUCCGGGAUGAAUUUAUUGAUAAGAGAUUGAUGGGGAGGAGGGUGAAAGGGGGGAGGAGGAGUUAAAGAGCUUAGAGAAGUAGGAAGAGGCCUCAGAUUUGAUCUCCUCAGGAGAGCGAAGCACGAAUCCAUUCCUGGAAGAGAGGAAGGAGAUGGAGUUAACAUUGGUUCGAGCUUUGACAAAAUGGUGGAAGAAAGUACUGUUGGAGUCUCCAAGCUCCAGCCACUUAAUACGGGAUUUUUGCUUAAGAAAACUUUCUUUUUGGGAUAGGAGGGAAAGCUCCAAGCAGAGGGACAUCUCUUCGUCAGCGAGGGCAGAAUUAAGGGGAUCAAGCUGAAGUUUAGAUUGAAUGAUUUCCAAAUUAGAUUUGUGGGAGGCGGUCCUAUCAGAAAUGUUGUUGAUGCAUUGAGCUCCAGAGUUUAAGGGAUGCCUUGACAUUUCUAAGCUUUAUGGAAAAGGAGCUGAGCGGGGAGGAAAAGGCGUGCAAUGGGAUGCACCAAGCCUCAUGAACCAGGGAGAAUGAAGUCCUUGUGAAGGGACCAUAUGUCGAAGAAUUUGAAGGGCUUGGGGCCGAAAGAGGCGGAAGGGUGAACUAGGAGAGAGAUGGGACAAUGAUCGGAUAUGUUGGGCAAGUCGAAAGUGGCAUGGGAGGAGGGGAAGGAGUCAAGCCAAGCUCCAUUCACAAGCAUCUUGUCAACUUGCACGCCACACGGUCAGUGCCACUUCGACGAUUGUUCCAGGAGAACUUGGAACCAGACCAACAGAGGUCAUUCAUGACAAUGUCUUCGACACAUUCGUUGAAGGCAUCAGCGGAGGGGAGGUCAAUGUGAUCGCCACCAACUUUUUCAUGGCCAAAUCUGAUGACAUCAAAGCCACCGGCAAGACCCCAGAGGGAGGAGUCAACAAAUGGGGAUAGGGAUCGAAGAUCAUUCCAGAGGGGAAGCCUCGCUGAUGCACGGUUAAGGGCAUACACGAUAGUGAGGAAGCAUCUAUUGGCCCUUGAGGAAUCAGAGAUGGAGAGCUGGAUAUGCUGGGAUGAGGCACCAAGGGAAGAGAUAUUAAGGAUAAGAGGGUCCCAAAGAAUCCAAAUUCGACCAUUGGGGCAGUUUGCAUAGUUGGCAAGGAAAGACCAAGAAGGAGCAAUGGAGGAGGCAAUGCGAGAAGCAUUUGGCUCAAGGACUCUAGUUUCCAGAAGACAGCAGAGGGGGGCAUGAGAGGAUUUAAUGAGGGAUCGGAUGGAUGCAUGCUUCGCCGAGGAGUUAAGCCCUCGGACAUUCCAAAUGGACCAGGGGUGCAUUUGGGGGGAGGUGAUGGUGGGAUCAGUUGCUUUGAGGAGCAGGAGGAACGCCGUUGGCCAGCAGUAGAAGACCUUUUGUGACGAUGGUAUUCACGGAUGGGAGAUGGAUGAGAAGGGCAUGUCUUCUAGUUUGAGGCCUGGGUAGAGGUGUUCAGGGGUCUCGGGCUAGUCUUUGAGGAAUUAGAAGUUUUCUGGUUUAAGGGGGGGCGCUUGGAUUUGGAGGGGUUCAAAGGGGCUUUUAGGUGCUGGGUGGUUGACACACAGGGAGCAGGCACUGAAUCAAGGCUAUUAGUGACAGUGGUUAGCCCAAGGAGGACUGCAGGUGGGGCGAGGGAAGCUCGCAAGCCAUCAAAUUGGGCAGAGAGGCAGCACACCGAAUUUGUUCAACGGGGGCCAAGUGAUCUCGAUUGUGGUUCAGUGAAGUGGCAACAGCAGUGAAGCAUUAAGACACGUUAAAUCCUUAGAUUAAACCUAAAUGACCUUAUACUAGUACUACUGAUUGGAGAAAAUAGUUUAGCACUCCCCUUCAAGCUGGAGCAUAAAUGUAAUUGAUGUAGAGCUCAAAUAGAAGAUCUGAUGGCACUCCCAGCAUAGGAAGAAGAAAAACCAGGUCCAUUAGAACCUUUCUUUGGUACCUUAAAGAGUAGAGAGUUCCAAUAGAAGCUUUAGCAUGUAAAAAACACACUUAGAAGAUCUGAUGGAGUUCCCUCAUCAAUUGGAAGACCUAAUGGUGGAAGAUUGGAGGUUGUGAAGGCCAUAUGAAGAGCAAGGGAACCUGUACACUGUUACCUCCGGCUUCCCCUUCAAGUUCUUGAUUCUCUGUCAUCCAGCAACAUUUGGGAGUGGGACUUGGCUUGCCAGAAUCGUCCAGGGGGUAGCUUUCAACUCCUCAUGGUCUUGGUUGCUGAAGUUAUGUGAUGUUGGAGCACAACUCAUUCUUCAAAAUGACAGGGUAAGAAUGUGAUUCAGAGUGAUGGAGGCCGCAUGAAGGCUUUGCUGAUGUCCAUCUCCCUUGUGUGGCAAAGGGCCAUGAGCAUGUUGUGACAUGUUAUGCUUAUGGACACUGGUGAAUAACAUCUGUGCUCAACUUAAAACAACUGUAACGUAUCGACUAUAGUGGGCGUUCAUAAUAUGGGUACAAAGAGAUUGAUGUUCUUGAAGUGAAACUUGCGUGGUUUCAGCUGUUAGGUGAAUGUGACAGGUUGGAUUUUGAACAUAGCUGCUGCAAAUGAGGCCAUGGAAAUCCCAAUUGUGACACGAGGCAUAUGUGGCAACUGAAAAAUUAAGAUGCCCUACAUGCAUAUGGAGCUUGGUUCAAAAGGCAUUUGAAUUGGCUGGCAGAUCGGAUGAUCUAGGAAAUCCCAAUUGUGACACGAGGCAUAUGCGGCAACUGAAAAACUAAGAUGCCCUACAUGCAUAUGGAGCUUGGUUCAAUAGGCGUUUGAGGUGCUGUGCUAGCUCUUCUGCUUGACAGACUUGUGUUGAUUUAUGUCCGAUCAAGAUUUGUCUUCCAUAUGUAGGGUGGCAGAUCGGAUGAUCUAGGAAUGGAUAUGAACAACAGGGUUUUUUUACAUAUUGGAACUAAAAAAAACUGCUCCGAAGAUCGGCCUCUUAUCACUUUUAUCCAAAUUUUGGAGUGCCAGUGGUUUACAUGCAAUUUCAGCCAUUAAAUUUUAAAUCUCUACUUCGCAAAUGGCCAAAGAUGGCUUUCUUUCUCAUGUCCUGCUGUACUUCAUGCGUUGAAGUUGAACUCCAUCACAAGUAGAGGGUGGCAUGGCGAAGAGGUAGAAGAAUUCUCUCAGCAUUGUCAUUUGUUUGUAAGCCUCACUUGAGAGCCCUCCUGUGCAUCUCCACUGUUAAGAAUCUCACAGCAUUGUCAUUUGUUUCUUUUCCAUAACAGCGACUGACGGUAGGGGGUCUGAAUAUAAUUUUAUAUUAUACAGAGGGUGUUUCUCUAAUAGUGGCAUUCUCUCGGUGGUGUUGCUAAAAAUUACCUUAAUUUUUUUCUCAUCCUUUCUAUGUACCCAUACAGAGCUGAGACCUCUCUAGUUAGUUUCUUCCCCCUCACUCCUCUUUUUUGGAGGUUGGGUCUUUCAAACA